ensembl:lncRNA
GUAGUUCCCUCGCAGGAGCGGCCGCCUGUGCAGGAGACCAGGCUGUGAGGAAGAAAGGAGUGGCUGAUGUCCUGUGAGACGUCUUCUCAGGACUGAAGCCCAACCUUACAGUUAGGAGUUUUUAAACUUCCCACAGUGAGGCCAGGAGCUAAAGUGAUGGAAAUAUGCAAAUCAAUGAGUUGAUGGCGUUAUUGGUAUUUUUUCUGACGAAGGUAAAACCACCCUCCGUUCUCCCCUUCGGCCCUGCCUGUCUGCCACCUUCUCCUACCUGCUCCCCGUCGUCUCUCGCUUUAGUCCUUUUUCCUGGCUCUCUAGAGCCAGACUGCCUGCCUUCAUAUUCGUCUCCGCCACUGAGUGAUUGCAUGACUAAGGAAAUGGCUAACUUGUGUACCUCUCUCCUUUUUUCUUUUUUUUUGGUGAGGAAGAUUGGCCCUGAGCUAACAUCUGUGCCAGUGUUCCUCUAUUUUGUAUGUGGGACACCUCCACAGCGUGGCUGCCAAGGAGUGGUGCUAGGUUGGCACCUGGGAUCAGAACCGUGAACCCCGGGCCACCUAAACCGUGAGCAGGAACUUAACCAUUAUGCCACCUGGCCGGCCCCCUGCACCUCAGUUUUUUUUAUCUGUAAACUAGGGAUGGAAUAGUACCCGCCUCAUAGGAUUAUUUGAAGACAAAGUGAGUUUAUAGUAAGGUGUAUGUAAGAGUGCCUUUCACAUGGUAAAUGCUCAAACGUUAGCUUUGAUACCCUUCUCCCAACGUCGCUCUCCAAAACAGAGAGUGCCCGUGUAACCUCCGGAAGUGUUUGUUGAAUGACCUCCCAUCAUCAGGAUGCGUAACAAAGUGGCAAUCCAGCAUCCUCCAGGUGUUCUUCUAGUUGUGGUAUGUGGGACGCUGCCUCAGCAUGGUCUGACGAGCAGUGCCAUGUCCGUGCCCAGGAUUCGAACCAACGAAACACUGGGAUGCCUGCAGCGGAGCGCGCGAACUUAACCACUCAGCCGCGGGGCCAGCCCCCUUUAGUGACCAUUUUUAAAGUGAUAACUCUAGUAUUUAAAAGGUACCCGUAUGUCCAUAGUGAUAUUGUGAAGUGUACACAUACCAACUCACAGAUUUGUUUUUCAAGCAAUGCUAGGACUUAGUAGGAGAAAGUAAUGUUCCAGUUCUUUACUGGAGAGAGAAGCUGGUAUUUGAGAGAGUGAAGAGGGAUGGGCAAAACCACAAUGAGAUACCACUUCACAUCCACAAGGAUGGCUAUAAUCAAAAAAGUAGAAAAUAACAAGUGUUAAUGGGGAUAUGGAGAAAUUGGCACUCUCAUCCAUUGCUGGCAGAAAUGUAAGAUGGUGCCUCCACUGUAGAAGAUAGUUUGGCAGUCUGAAAAACUUAAACAUAGAAUUACCUUAUGACCCAGUAAUUCCACUGCUAGCUGUACACCUUGUAUGUGAAUGUUCACAGCGGUACUAUUCACAAUAACAGGAAGGUGGAAAGCACCCAAACGUCCAUCAACAGAUGAAUGGAUAAACAAAAUGUGGUAUGACCAUACAAUGGAAUAUUAUUUAUCAAUAGAAAGAAAUGAAAUGCUAUCCAUGCUGCAAUAUGAAUGAACCUUGGAAACAUUAUACUAAGUGAAAGAAACCAGUCACAAAAAGACCUCAUAUUGUAUGAUUACAUUUAUUUGAAAUAUUUAGAAUAGGCAAGUCUAUGGAGACUAGACUCGCAGUUGCUUGGAGCUGAGACGCACGGGAGAGGGGUAUAGAUGAGUGACGGCUAAAGAGUGUGGGGUUUCUUUUUCAGCUGAUAAAGAUGUUCUAAAACUGAUGAUGAUUGCACAUAUCUGGAAUAUACUAAAAACUAUUGAACUGGUCACUUUAAAUGGAUGAAUUGUAAAUCAGUGAAUUAUGUCUCCAUAAAGCUGUUAAAAGAUUUUAAAAAGAGUGAUGGGAAACAUUCUUUUCAAGUCCUGUAAAUAUAUACAUGUAGUUAUAUAGACAUACUGCAAUGUUAUUAGGGAAAAGUAAUAAGCAAUAUGGCUUAAAUUUAUUUUUAAUAAUCUGUAAUUAAAAAUACGUAAAAUACAGGGCUGGCCCAGUAGCGUGGCGGUUAAGUUCUCACAAUUUGCUUCUGCGCUGGGCUUUGCCAGUGCAAAUCCUGGGCGUGGACCUACGCACCACUUAUAAAGCCAUGCUUUGGCAAGCAUCCCACAUAUAAAAGUAGAGAAAGAUGGGCAUGGAUGUUAGCUCAGGGCCAAUCUUCCUAAAAAAAAAAAAAAGUAAGGUACUUUAACUACAGAUUUGAUCAUCUUCAACAAACGUUUCCAUGCCUCUUUUAUGCCUGAUGAUGUAAUUUGUGCUGUAAAGGACACAACCGUUUUCGUAUUCAUUCAGCAAAUAUUUAUUGAGCGCCUACCAUGUUACAG